CAGCCAUUAUUAUGAGCUGUCCUCCCCUCAGCAGCCUCCACUGGUGUAGUUAUAUGUCUAUCAUAUUGAGGUAUCUAGCUAUAAUUUACACCUGAUCAAUCAAAUCGAUAGGUGUAAGCAAUUAUGGUAAUUCCAAUUGCCCUUAACUAGUUAACUAGGUGUCUUCGCUAGACAGACACAGCGAAACUUGUUCGGCUUCAUAUGUACCUACGGGGAAAGGAUGGCCAGCCACACAGGAGCGUGAUUUUUACUAAGGAGGAGUAGGAGGCCGUGCUGACCGAGAUGCAUGCUGGCCAUUUCGGAGUGAAGCGGAUGAUUGCCAAAAUCAACCUGCUCUUCUUCUGACAGAGAAUUGUCAAGGAGGUGGACAGCGGGGCAAUCAGUACCCUGUCUAGCCUGACAGAAGUUUGAGAGGGCGAAGACUGUGGCGCCGGAGUUUAAGCCCAUCAAAGAUGUUUCACCAUGGCACAUGAUCGGGGUGGACCUCAUUGGACCCUCACAUGUUGUACAUCUUCAACACCCACGGUUCUCCUGAGGUCAUGACCGAGGUCAUGACCGAGGUCAUGAACACUGGAACAAGGCACGUAUGUCAGAGUUCAUAUUCUGUCACCAAUGGUUUGUUUUAUUUAAGGAAGGCGUGGGACGUGGGAAACCUUGCUGCUCAUUCGCUCCUAGCUGGGGUCAACAUCUGUUAAAGUGAAUAUAUAUCUCAGAUAAUAACUAUUUGCAUGCAAAAUAACUUGAAGCUAGUUUUAGUUUCCCUAACACUGAUAUUUGUCUCUUUGUUUUCAUUUAUAUAACUAGCCAAGUCAGUUAAGAAUAAAUCAUUAUUUACAACGACAGCCUACCCCAGCCAAACCCUAACGAUACUGGGCCAAUUGUGUGCCGCCCUAUGAAACUCCCAAUCACAGCCGGUUGUGAUACAGCCUGGAAUUAAACCAGGGUCUGUAGUGAUGCCUCUAGCACUGAGCUGCAGUGCCUUAGACCGCUGCGUCACUCGGGUUACCUCAGUGGAAGCCAACAAUCUGCUCCAGUUGGAGCAGUUGGAUGGUCGACCACUGAAAGCACUGACGUUCUACACUUCGGUGAAGCCCAAUAGACAAAGUAUGUUAA